UACGGGGGGGGCAAGCGUUGUUCGGAAUUACUGGGCGUAAAGGGCUCGUAGGCGGCCAACUCAGUCGGACGUGAAAUCCCUCGGCUUAACCGGGGAACUGCGUCCGAUACUGGAUGGCUGGAGUGUGGGAGAGGGAUGCGGAAUUCCAGGUGUAGCGGUGAAAUGCGUAGAUAUCUGGAGGAACACCGGUGGCGAAGGCGGCAUCCUGGACCACGACUGACGCUGAGGAGCGAAAGCCAGGGGAGCAAACAGG
rnacentral:rRNA from 1 species